AAAAUCAGUAUGUGUGUGGGUGUCGCCUGGAGCAAGAGAAAGAAAGGGGAAAGCCCUUAUCUUCACAAAAUCAGGAAAUUAGAAGGGAAAUCAUGGCCAAAUCCACUGCACGAACUCUUAAAAUCGAUCAUCUAAACUAGUCUAUCAAGAGGUAAAUCGUCUACUUAGAUAGAUGACAAGCUCGGAACAAACACACCGUCUCAAAUGCUUUCGCGAUAAUGCUCGACUAAAUGGGUCAAAAACUUUUGUAGAAAACUUUUAUGUCAUGUCUAGUGGGUGAAUGUUAAUUUUAAAAAUUUCCGAAAA